rnacentral:rRNA from 1 species
AGCGAACGCUGGCGGCAGGCCUAACACAUGCAAGUCGAACGAACCUUUCGGGGUUAGUGGCGGACGGGUGAGUAACCCGUGGGAACGUGCCUUUAGGAUUGGCCUAACUCAGGGACACUUGUGCUAAUACCGAAUGUGCCCUUCUGGGGAAAGAUUUAUCGCCUUUCGAGCGGGCGGCGUCUGAUUAGCUAGUUGGUUGAGGUAAUGGCUCACCAAGGCGACGAUCAGUAGCUGGUCUGGGAGAAUGGUCAGCCACAUUGGGACUGAGACACGGCACAAACUCCUACGGGAGGCGGGAGUGGGGAAUCGUGCGCAAUGGGCGGAAUGCUGACGCAGCCAUGCCGGGUGAAUGAUGAAGGUCGGAAGGUAGAAAAAUUCUUGCACCGGGGACGAUAAUGACGGUACCCAGAGAAGAAGCCCCGGCUAACUUCGUG